GCCGGGGUGGCGGAGUCUGGCAACGCGCGGGCCUCGAGAGCCCGUGACCCUUUGGGUCAUGUGGGUUCAAAGCCCGUUUCGCGGGUGAAAAUCCCACCCCCGGCG
rnacentral:tRNA from 1 species